UACGGGGGGGGGCAAGCGUUGUUCGGAAUUACUGGGCGUAAAGGGCUCGUAGGCGGCCAACUAAGUCAGACGUGAAAUCCCUCAGCUUAACUGGGGAACUGCGUCUGAUACUGGAUGGCUUGGAUUCGGGAGAGGGAAGUGGAAUUCCCGGUGUAGUGGUGAAAUGCGUAGAUAUCGGGAGGAACACCAGUGGCGAAGGCGACUUCCUGGCCUGUUCUUGACGCUGAGGCGCGAAAGCGUGGGGAGCAAACAGG
rnacentral:rRNA from 1 species